rnacentral:lncRNA from 1 species
GUUGACCCUGUAUUCAAGAGAUAAACGUUUCAUGGCGAAAUCUUAGGCGUACAUUUUACAGUUGUUAUCACAUCGUUCAAAAUUUGAAAUCCCUGAAAACAUAUCCUACUUCAAUCUUUCCUUCCUCUCUCCCCAUAAGAAGCCCUAACACGCAUCCACCUUGUCAUUUUAUACUGCCAUAUACAGAGAGGUGUUGAAGAUCGGAAAAUCUCUACACACACUCACCACUCUCGCUCAAUACAGGUUGAAAUCUCUGUACCCUUGAAGGUUUAAUCGUUUAAGCUACCACUCCCCGUGCCAUCACCAUCAACAACCACACAUCGCACCAUGCCAUCAGGAACCACUCUUCUGUUUUUUUUGUUUUCUAUUUUUGAAAAUCCAGUUACGCCUCCUCCUAACUCGAAAUCGAGUUUCAGUUGAUGGAGGUUUGCUCCUAUUUUUUUCCCUUUCUACUAUGGUGGUAGAGUCUUAGUCCCAAUAAUACGAUGUUGGAGUUCAGUUAUAUUCCAGUGAAAAAAAUUUACAGGAAGGGAGCCAAUCGCAAACCCUAGGCGAUUUCAUUUCUUCAAACAAAUAUGUUUAUGAAAUAUCUUUAAUUUCAUGUUUUAUUAUGUUGAAUUUCGUUUGUUUAGUUAACCAUGGAUAUUGUCAAAAAAAAUUCAGAGGAUAUGGCCGAGAUCUUGAUUUAUCUAUCUUUUGAUGUUUUUGUUAAUUUUAAUUUUAAUUUGCUAUAUAUUGUUCAUUCUUCAAAUUAUAAGGAUAGUUUUUUUUUUUGUUGUUACAGGAAAAUGAAUUUCACCGGCUGCUCCAAGUUUCAAAAACUAAGUCUAAUCACUUGCUGUCUUCUUAAUUUCCAUAAUAUGAAAAUUUUACCCAAUUAUGGUAUAGUAAUUUCAUAUUAUUUCUAUAAGCCAAUCUGUAAAGUUUUUUCUUAUUAUGUACUUUGAGAAGUUUGAAAUUACAACUUCUAGAGCAUGCUAUAUUUGUCUAAUAUUAUCCAUUUUGGUGUCAUUGUUGAUUGUAGGUAAAGUGGAUUUGUGUUGGCUUUGUUGGAAAUUGUGCAUACGUUUUUUUACUUUUGCUGAUUUUGUGAUGUAGGCCUUGCCGAAUUAGCAAAUUGCUGAUUACCCGAAUUAGCAAACUGCUAAUUACCCACCAAAAUUGGUUCCAGAACUGUUUGCAGCAAUAAUUUUGUUUUGGAUUCAGGUACUAUAAUUUUGUUUUAUUUAGUUCUAAAUUAUAAAUAAUAAAAUGAAUAACUUUUGAUUCUCAAGUCCGUUUUAACCAUUGUAAUCAUUGCAUUUAUUUAAUCUAUUAUUUAGUUAUCAUAGUUUUAGGUCACAUGUAUGUAGGUUUAUUUUUUAUUGCUAUAAAGCACAAAGAAAUGAUAGUAGGAUGCUAUAAAGCACAAAGAAAUGGAAGUAUGUUGCUUUAUUUUUUAUUUUUUUGGGCUAUUAGCUGCCAAAAGGCCAAAUUUGUUUAAUGUCAAAAGGCCAAAGUUUUGUUUUAUUUUGUCAAACUAAUGGAUUUUGUUCUUCCUGUAUCUAGGUUGGAGAUAACUUUAGUAAAUUUGGGGUUUUGCAUUUUUUUUGCUACCUAAUUCUAAUGCUACCAUUUACUUUUAUGUGUUUUGUAAUGAAAUACUCUUAUACUUUGAAUAAGAUGGGAGUUAGUUACUUACAUAUUUUCUUUCUUGCAAGCGUGUACUGAUGCAAAAUAUGUAUGAAGAUACCACGAUUUUAAAACUCAAAAAUACUAAAAUUUCUAUUUAUAUAGACAUAGAAAUUAAUCAUAAAAAGGUUAUUUUAUGAUUCAAAUAUAAAUGAGCAAUGAUAGUACCCAUUAAAAAUGAUGAUUUUGCUUUCAUGUUUUUGUCAUUUCCGUGUAAGUACGAGUGUUUGAUACUUUCUUUGGAUAUAUUGUAAAAAAUAUAUUAAUUUGUUUUAACAC